rnacentral:ncRNA from 1 species
GCUCAUCAAGAGCAGUGGAGGGACGGGCCCUGUGAAGCUGCGGCAACCAUCGGCAAGGAAGAGUUUUCUAAGUCGGAACGGUGCCAAUUCCUGUAGUAAAUACUACGAGAUGAG